rnacentral:rRNA from 1 species
CGUACACUCCUGCGGGAGGCAGCAGUGGGGAAUAUUGGACAAUGGGCGCAAGCCUGAUCCAGCCAUGCCGCGUGAGUGAUGAAGGCCCUAGGGUUGUAAAGCUCUUUCACCGGUGAAGAUAAUGACGGUAACCGGAGAAGAAGCCCCGGCUAACUUCGUGCCAGCAGCCGCGGUAAUACGAAGGGGGCUAGCGUUGUUCGGAUUUACUGGGCGUAAAGCGCACGUAGGCGGACUAUUAAGUCAGGGGUGAAAUCCCGGGGCUCAACCCCGGAACUGCCUUUGAUACUGGUAGUCUUGAGUUCGAGAGAGGUGAGUGGAAUUCCGAGUAUAGAGGUGAAAUUCGUAGAUAUUCGGAGGAACACCAGUGGCGAAGGCGGCUCACUGGCUCGAUACUGACGCUGAGGUGCGAAAGCGUGGGGAGCAAACAGGAUUAGAAACCCUUGUAGUCCCAUGA